UACGUAGGGUGCUAGCGUUGUCCGGAUUUAUUGGGCGUAAAGGGCUCGUAGGCGGUGUGUCACGUCGGCCGUGAAAACCUGCAGCUUAACUGUGGGCGUGCGGUCGAUACGGGCAUCACUGGAGUUCGGCAGGGGAGACUGGAAUUCCUGGUGUAGCGGUGAAAUGCGCAGAUAUCAGGAGGAACACCGGUGGCGAAGGCGGGUCUCUGGGCCGAUACUGACGCUGAGGAGCGAAAGCGUGGGGAGCAAACAGG
rnacentral:rRNA from 1 species